CUGUAUAUUUGUGGUCACCUGAUGGUAAUGGAUGCAAAGACCCUGUGCAGCAGCAGUGCCUCUCACAGGGAAUACCAGGAGGGAAACUGGAAGUAAUCAAAGCACACAGAAUUUGCUCUUCUUGGUGGAGGUCUCAUGUAGGCAGCACUUAAAUGACACUUUAUGUUUCUGGAUAAGGUGAAGGUAAGAAAUAGAAACUAUUUGAAAGCCAUUGCUUAUGUUCCCUGGAAUGGGCUGUGAAAAACAACUCUUGUGAGACCCAGCUUUACAGUGAACAUGAGCAGAGCGGUGUCAUCAGCAAUUCUGAAAACGUGUUUACAAUGGUUGGGGAAAUAUUUAGUCAGCAUUAAAAUAUGUUAGCUCAGACACAAAUUUUAGAUGUCUACUGCACUUAAAAGUUCCAAUAACUGGUUUCAUUAAGAUUUUUAGUGAUACAAAUUAAUAACAAAAGUCAGUUAAUACAGAGUGCAGCUAUGAGACCAAAAUACAUGUGGUUUAAAUGUAGAGUUAAAUGUUAGCAUUUCCCUAUAGAGAAAGGUUAUUUGGGCAGUGGUAUACUGACAUUAUCACCACCCACAGAGAAAAGGACCUGUUGAUCAUGUUGGUUAAGCAGAAAUUCAGAAAAGGAAAACUGUAGGUCUAGAGGGUUUGCUUGGUGUAAGUGAAUCACACAGGAAAAAUGCUGAUACCCAGGGCGUUGUAGUGACUUUCUUUGAUGGUUAAAAAGAGAAAUAAGCACAGGAUAUUUUUGUCAAGUUACAGGAUUUAUAUUGCUUCUUUCUAGGUAAAAUUUGUCUUAGUUAUUAAUAUAGUGGAAAGUUAAACGAUGAUCAUGGAAAUAUGAUAAUAAGUGCUGUUGGAAAACAAAAAGAAAUUAUUUUCUGUGUCCAUUUAAAAUAUUCUAAUGUGUUAACAGUUGGGCUGAAGGGCUGCUUAGAACAUGAAUGUGGAAAAUAAAGGAAAGCUUCUGUCAAGAAGAUGUUUCUGGAUACUGCCAUGCUGUUUCUGAGGGAGCCUUAUGUGAGCAGGGUUUGCUGCUCUUACUUUCCCAAAGGCACCCAGGUGGAAAUGCCCACUUUGGCCUAAGCUGCCCUUUGCAGACAGAUGCACAGACAAAUGCUGGCCAAAGGUCUCAGUGCAGCCCAUCAUAUAUGAGGUUGGGUCUUCCAAGGAUGAUGUCUCAUGGCUGACCUUGCAUGGUAUCGAAUUUGGUCAUCUGACCAAACCAGUCCUCAGGUAUGCCCUUGAUGGGAUGUGAGUCCAUGAAGACACUGGUGUGAAGUGUUGAGAUGGGCCCUGC
ensembl:lncRNA